rnacentral:lncRNA from 1 species
CGGGAUUGUAGCUCAACGGUAGAGCACUUGCUUAGCACGUGCGAGGCCCUGGGUUCGACCCUCAGCACACAUAAAAAUAAAUAAAAUAAAAAUAUUGUGUCCAAAUACAAAAUUAAAAAAAGAAAGAAAAUGUCUAAGAAAAAAAUCAAUUUGAGGCUGAAUUUGUUUGCUUGCUUUUAAAAAAAAAAUCAUACUAAAGUAUCAUACCUACUGGGGUUCUUUCUCUGGUAUGUACAACUCACCUUAGAUUUCUCCCUGGGAUUUUGAACUCAUCUUUGAUCUUCCAGUCUUCCCAUGUAUUUCCUAAAAUAUGGAUCCAGAAAAAUCGUUCUAAGUUAUCAGAAAUUAUAGCAAAUGUUAGGUCCCUAAGCCAAAGUAACUCCACUUUGAAACUCAGCACCUGCUCACCCAGGCAUGACCUUCCCAUUAGGCCCGUCCCCAAAGACUCCCUAACCACAGCGUCACAUAACAAUCACAGGACCAGAGGGUUACGUGUAACCUCCCCAUCAUAGUUGACUACAGUUAGCAAGUUUUCCCAGCAGGCUGCUGCGCCUGGCAGAAGGGCAGCCUGGCCGAUAUUCUCUGUCAAUAAACCUUUGC